AUUGCAGCUCCGUGCCGGGGGCGCCAGCACCGGCCUCGCAGCUCCCUCGCCCGGCCGGGGAGGUAAACAAAGUGAAAUAUCCUUCCGCGGCCCGGGGCCCCGGGCGCAGCACCCUGGGUGUCGGCUGCGAGCCGGCUGCGAGCCCAGCUGCGGGCGGCUGGGCCGGGGUUACCAGCAGCGACUCCCGAGCCGUUCCCCACACGCUGCUCCCGCAGCGCCCGCUCCAGCUCUUCGUAGCUCGUUCAUGUUCCUGGCGCUUUUCCCCAGAAAGCCAGGCACGCUCUGAGCAUUGGGCCCCCAGGCUCAGAUGUGGCCCUGAAUGAGGAGCUCUGUUUUGGAAGAAUGCGCUUUCAUCGGUAUUGCUGCCUGGAGUUUCGAGAAUUCGUUUCAUGGUAUCUCUCCGACAUCCUCCUCUCCAUUUAAAAGGAAAUCCAUUGCUUCCUUUUAGUUGGUGUCACCGCUUGCCCCCGAUCCCCACAUCCUGGGCUUGUAUUUCUAGUGUUUUCAGCAGAAGAGGAACUGAAGGCAUCUUUUGAUUCAGGUCAAAUUUAAUCACUAAUUCUUCCCUUCCCAGUGCAUUGCCUGGAGGGCCUUGGAGGCCAAGCUAGACAAAACUUUGCACCCACACCUCCAGGGAGCGCUGUUGGGUCCUAUCCAGGGUGCUGGGCGUCCUGAGUCCUCUUCUGUUAGCCAGGUGAAGGCUGCAGUUUCACGCCCCACUCCACCCCCCAUUUCGCCACCCCCCCCGAAUUAUUCGUAACUUCCUUGGGAGAUUCCAGUCCGCGGGCUUGGACAGGAACACCGGAAGCAAGGGGCUUGAACUCAGGCAGAGGCUUCAAACGCCAGCCUUGAUCUAAGAUAUCCUGGUGAAUGAGAAGCGAUCUAGUAGAGGACAAACUUAAAAAAAAAAAUCCCAAGGAACUGAGAAAGGGGAGUUGGGACGACUCCUGGAGCCCUCUGAGCUUUUGCAUGCGUGUAGUAUAUUUUCCACUGGAGGAGGGGACUAAAUUAUUGUCCACUGUAGGACACUUUCAGUAAAAGAAGGGAGCUAUUUAUAAUUAUGUCCACUUGGGACAACAGUCACUCUAAUGAUCAGGAGUCCUGGGAAUGUGGCCAGAGAUGGAGAGGACAUUGACUAUAAAGCUUCCACCCAGCAGCACAGAGUUAAAAGGAAGGUUAAGAAGUGGACCCGUGCCU
rnacentral:lncRNA from 1 species